rnacentral:rRNA from 1 species
UGGGGAAUAUUGCGCAAUGGAGGCAACUCUGACGCAGCCAUGCCGCGUGUGUGAAGAAGGCCCUCGGGUUGUAAAGCACUUUCAAUUGGGAGAAAAAGCUUGUCGUUAAUAGCGGCAAGCCUUGAUGUUACCUUUAGAAGAAGCACCGGCUAACUCCGUGCCAGCAGCCGCGGUAAUACGGAGGGUGCGAGCGUUAAUCGGAAUUACUGGGCGUAAAGCGCGCGUAGGCGGUUGCUUAAGUCGGAUGUGAAAGCCCCGGGCUCAACCUGGGAACUGCAUUCGAUACUGGGCGACUAGAGUACGAGAGAGGGAGGUAGAAUUCCACGUGUAGCGGUGAAAUGCGUAGAUAUGUGGAGGAAUACCGGUGGCGAAGGCGGCCUCCUGGCUCGAUACUGACGCUGAGGUGCGAAAAGCGUGGGGAGCAAAACAGGAUUAGAUACCCUGGUAGUCCACGCCGUAAACGAUGUCUGCUAGUCGUUGGGGGCGUAGCCCUUCAGUGACGCCGCUAACGCAUUAAGCAGACCGCCUGGG